rnacentral:rRNA from 1 species
UACGAGGGGUGCAAGCGUUGCUCGGAAUCAUUGGGCGUAAAGGGCAGGUAGGUGGUCUCAUUUGUCUGGGGUGAAAGCCCAGGGCUUAACCCUGGAAGUGCCCCAGAAACGGUGAGACUUGAGUGCUGGAGAGGGUCGUGGAAUUCCCGGUGUAGCGGUGAAAUGCGUAGAGAUCGGGAGGAACACCAGAGGCGAAGGCGGCGACCUGGACAGUGGGGGCAACCCCUGGAAGCUGACACUGAGGCGCGACAGCGUGGGGAGCAAACAGG